rnacentral:rRNA from 1 species
GGCGUAUAUUAAAGUUGUUGCAGUUAAAAAGCUCGUAGUUGAACUUUGGGCCUGGGCGGACGGUCUACCUAUGUAAGCACUGUUGCGGCCGGGUCUUUCCUUCUGGCUAGCCCUCGGGCGAACCAGGACGAUUACUUUGAGGAAAUUAGAGUGUUCAAAGCAGGCCUUUGCUCGGAUAUAUUAGCAUGGAAUAAUAGAAUAGGACGCAUGGUUCUAUUUUGUUGGUUUCUAGGACCAUCGUAAUGAUUAAUAGGGACGGUCGGGGGCAUCAGUAUUCAGUCGUCAGAGGUGAAAUUCUUGGAUUGACUGAAGACUAACUACUGCGAAAGCAUUUGCCAAGGACGUUUUCAUUAAUCAAGAACGAAAGUUAGGGGAUCGAAGAUGAUCAGAUACCGUCGUAGUCUUAACCAUAAACUAUGCCGACAAGGGAUCGGAA